UGGCUCAGUGGAUAGAGCAUCAGCCUGUGGACUGAAGGGUCCCAGGUUCAAUUCCUGG
rnacentral:tRNA from 1 species